AUACGGAGGGUGCAAGCGUUAUCCGGAAUCAUUGGGUUUAAAGGGUCCGCAGGCGGAUUAAUAAGUCAGUGGUGAAAUCCUCCCGCUCAACGGGAGAACUGCCAUUGAAACUGUUAGUCUUGAAUUCGGUCGAAGUGGGCGGAAUAUGUCAUGUAGCGGUGAAAUGCAUAGAUAUGACAUAGAACACCGAUAGCGAAGGCAGCUCACUAGACCUGGAUUGACGCUCAGGGACGAAAGCGUGGGGAGCGAACAGGAUUAGAUACCCGAGUAGUCC
rnacentral:rRNA from 1 species